GGGGGUGAACAGGCUUCGACGUAAUGGCUAGAUGAUCGGUUGCAUGUCGCGAGGGUAAGUCUCCCGCGUUAACGGAGCUUACAAAACACAAACGCAACACCUUACGUUGCAACAUCUCCUGUUGGCUUAGGCUAAGGAGGGCACCGAUAUUUUUUGCCUCAGGAAUUAUUGGUGCACACUUAUGGGGCUAGAAUUAGGCUCUUUUGCUUUGAGGGUUUAGUUUGAAACUAAUAAAGCUGCUUUUUGGAAGAUCCCGCCUUUUGGAGCUUUCAAGACUAAGAUAAAUAUAAGGCUAAACAUGUAGUAACUUUUCGUUGAACCUUUGCGGACCGGGGUUCGAUUCCCCGCACCUCCACCA
rnacentral:tmRNA from 1 species